CUGGGAUAACUUCGGGAAACCGGAGCUAAUACCGGAUAAUAUAUUGAACCGCAUGGUUCAAUGGUGAAAGACGGUUUUGUCUGUCACUUAUAGAUGGAUCCGCGCCGCAUUAGCUAGUUGGUAAGGUAACUGCUUACCAAGGCAACGAUGCGUAGCCGACCUGAGAGGGUGAUCGGCCACACUGGAACUGAGACACGGUCCAGACUCCUACGGGAGGCAGCAGCC
rnacentral:rRNA from 1 species